ensembl:snRNA U6 U6 spliceosomal RNA
GUGCUUGCUUUGGCAGCACAUAUAGUAAAAUUGUAAUGAUCCAGAGAAUAUUAGCAUGGCCCCUGCACAAGGAUGACAUGCAAAUUCGUGAAGUGUUCCAUAUUUUU